CUUUAUAAGUUUUUUGUUUUCCAUUCUCUUGCAUUGAUUCCAUCCUACCCCCGCUAAGAACCAUAUUUUGAAAAUUGAAAGUGAGUGUCCAGCUAUGUUUGGCCUCAGACUUAUUUUCACAAGACGUGUCGGUUGGCAACAUUUUUUUGUUCCGGGACAAACAGAGCAAGUUGUAACAGUGCUUUAAUUAGACUGUCCUUAGAUGUUUCAUAAAAAAUGUUUUUCCGUUAGCAUGAGAUGUAUGAUGAGGUAUUAAUUGCUACCCGUUUGAACACGUAGGAAAGGUAUUUGGAUACAUACCAGUUUUAAUAAUUGUGCUGGGAAAAUGGGAUUAGAAUAGUUUUGGUUGUUUUUGACCGGCGCAGACUCGAAGUGUCUUUUUCUGUGCUAUAGACCUCUAUGACUAAUAAGAAAAACGUUUUUUGUUAUUUGACUAAUAAUGAAUCCUUUAUGAAGCAUCUCACUCAUUUGAGCUUCCUGCUGCUUUUGUUCCAAGGUACUUUGUAUGAAGUUUCACUGAAGGUGUCUGUUAAUUUGAGCUAUUCACUGUUGUCUCGAACAAUAUCCUGUUCUCCAGCUACUAAAUCUGGGCUCCAGAUGCUCCAAAUUAAAUAUAUCAAGGUCAAAGAAACGUUUGAAUGAACGCGAGGCGUAGUAGCUUUGUUUGUGCAAGGGCGUAAGGUAAUAAGGAUUGAAACGAAGACUUGCACUUAUUUACUAACACUUCUCCUGACCAGCAGACGUUCUAAAGCAUUUUACAGCUAAUGAAGUAUUUUUGGUGUGUAAUCAUUGUUGCAACGUAAGAAAUGUGUGGCCCACAGCAAGCUCUCACAAAGAGCACUUUGGAUAAUGGCCAGAUAAUGUGUCUUUAGGGCAUUUUGAUAGAGGGAUAAGUAUUGGCCAGAACACUGAGGAUAACUCCCUGUUCCUCUUUGAACCACUACUGUGGGAUUCUUUUUUACAUCCACCAAAUUUCGCAAAUAGGGCCAUGGGUUAACAUCUAAGCCAAAUGUUGGCAUCUCCAAAGCCUUUCGAGAGAGGCGGCUACCAAGGUAUUCCACAGUCCUUUCUUCAACCUAUAUGGGAGGUGGAGGAUUUAGCUCACAACAGUGACUACACUUCUCAAAGUUUUUUUUUUAUCUUGUCUGUAAAGUGUUUUCAUUAAGGAAUCCCCACAGUGUGGGGAUGGGCCACUUGAAUCCACACCAACCCUCCUACUCAGACCCACCCUGUCCCUGUAACACUGCAUUUCCCAUGGCUUAUGCACCUAAUCUCCACAUCCCUGGACACUAUGAACAAUUUACCACAGCCAAUCCACCUAACCUGCACAUCUUUGGACUGUGAGAGGAAACUGGAGCACCCAGAGGAAACCCAUGCAGACGCGGGGAGAUGAGCAACUGUCUGUGUGAAGUUUGCACAAAGGGUGGAACUGAACCUGGGUGUCUGGAGACAUGAGGCAGCAGUGCUAACUACUGAGCCAUCAUGCCAUUUUGGAUAUAGUGAGUUAAUAAAGUUGGACAUAAACAGAA